rnacentral:rRNA from 1 species
AUUGAACGCUGGCGGCAGGCCUAACACAUGCAAGUCGAGCGGAUGAAGGGAGCUUGCUCCUGGAUUCAGCGGCGGACGGGUGAGUAAUGCCUAGGAAUCUGCCUGGUAGUGGGGGAUAACGUCCGGAAACGGGCGCUAAUACCGCAUACGUCCUGAGGGAGAAAGUGGGGGAUCUUCGGACCUCACGCUAUCAGAUGAGCCUAGGCCGGAUUAGCUAGUUGGUGGGGUAAAGGCCUACCAAGGCGACGAUCCGUAACUGGUCUGAGAGGAUGAUCAGUCACACUGGAACUGAGACACGGUCCAGACUCCUACGGGAGGCAGCAGUGGGGAAUAUUGGACAAUGGGCGAAAGCCUGAUCCAGCCAUGCCGCGUGUGUGAAGAAGGUCUUCGGAUUGUAAAGCACUUUAGGUUGGGAGGAAGGGCAGUAAGUUAAUACCUUGCUGUUUUGACGUUACCAACAGAAUAAGCACCGGCUAACUUCGUG